UUAUACAACUUUUAACAACGGAUCUCUUGGCUCUCGCAUCGAUGAAGAACGCAGCGAAAUGCGAUAAGUAAUGUGAAUUGCAGAAUUCAGUGAAUCAUCGAAUCUUUGAACGCACCUUGCGCUCCUUGGUAUUCCGAGGAGCAUGCCUGUU
rnacentral:rRNA from 1 species